AUAUGGUGUAAUAUGGUAGCACUAAGAUUUUUGGAUUCUUUGGAGUAGGUUCAAGUCCUACUAUUCUAG
rnacentral:tRNA from 1 species